GUUCCCUUAGCUCAGUGGUUAGAGCGUGCGAUUGCAAUAGUGCAACAACAUCGCAAGGUCCCGCGUUCAAAUCGCGGAGGGAACU